rnacentral:rRNA from 1 species
UUCCGCAAUGGGCGAAAGCCUGACGGAGCAACGCCGCGUGAGUGAUGAAGGUCUUCGGAUCGUAAAACUCUGUUAUUAGGGAAGAACAAAUGUGUAAGUAACUAUGCACGUCUUGACGGUACCUAAUCAGAAAGCCACGGCUAACUACGUGCCAGCAGCCGCGGUAAUACGUAGGUGGCAAGCGUUAUCCGGAAUUAUUGGGCGUAAAGCGCGCGUAGGCGGUUUUUUAAGUCUGAUGUGAAAGCCCACGGCUCAACCGUGGAGGGUCAUUGGAAACUGGAAAACUUGAGUGCAGAAGAGGAAAGUGGAAUUCCAUGUGUAGCGGUGAAAUGCGCAGAGAUAUGGAGGAACACCAGUGGCGAAGGCGACUUUCUGGUCUGUAACUGACGCUGAUGUGCGAAAGCGUGGGGAUCAAACAGGAUUAGAUACCCUGGUAGUCCACGCCGUAAACGAUGAGUGCUAAGUGUUUAAGGGGGUUUCCGCCCCUUAGUGCUGCAGCUAACGCAUUAAGCACUCCGCCUGGGGGAGUACGACCGCAAGGUUGAAACUCAAAGGAAUUGACGGGGACCCGCACAAGCGGUGGAGCAUGGGGGUUUAAUUCGAAGCAACGCGAAGAACCUUACCAAAUCUUGACAUCCUCUGACCC